CAGCAAGUUGAAAACAAAACCUACACCUUUAAUCUUCUGUAUGUGUUGUGAUUGAAGGGCACGUUGUUGUAUUCUGGACAUGUUUCAGGGUUGGAGGCUUCAGGUGGACAGUAACAUGCAGCUCAGAGACAUGCAGGACACGGGGCUGGCCCUGCCUCACUCCAAGACAGCGUCGUCGGCACCACUCUGUGGCAGAGGCUGGCAACAGCAGAUGGAAAGAAGCAAGAGAGGGGAGGGCUGACCUGAUCCUGCACUUCACAAUUCAAACACAAGUCUCAUUUGAAGUGGCUGAAACAAAUCCCCAGCGUCACCUCGCUGAACCUGCUUCCUGGAAGAUAACAGCAAUGCCUUUAAAGCUCGCUCAUUAUUAUGGUUUGGGCCCACCGUCACAAAUUCCAGACAAAAGUGAAUUUCCUAUUCCCUGUCAAUAACAAGCUCGAUGUCACCUCUGAAGCUGAGGGAGCAUGAUUCAAUAAAGUUUUCUCUUUUUUUCUGUUUGACCCCUUGUCACCCUGCUCGUAACAGAGGGUUGAAUUACAGUUUUUUUUUUCUUCUCCCCACUAAGUACCCUGCAGGCUACCUAGAAACACACCGGAUUGACUAUCUUGUAUAAACCUCUGAUAAGACAGCUCGGUCACUGCGCGGCUUUGUCCGCUGUUGAAAUAAGCCGCAUAUCAAACAUUAACCGGGACAUAUUUGCAGAGGUUGAUUGGUUACAUGACCAUUUUAGCCGGCGCAAAGAUGAGCCUCCACAGCUCGAACAUCACUCGCUGUGGAACCUGCUGAGGUUAACAGAAGAAAUCACAUUUUUAAAGGUGCAAUAUGUAAAAAAAAAAAAUAAAAAAAAUGGCCUCCACACAAAAACAGGGGGCAGUAUACCUCCAGAGUAAAUGCUAACUGCUGUUAGCUGUAGAAGCUGUUGGCUAGUUAGCUGUACAGCUAGUGGUUACAAACGUAGGGCAGGAUAUAUAUCUGCAACACAAUACAUCAGUGUCUUUUGAAAUUAUGUCAAAACCCUUAUUCUUUAGCCAUUUGCAUUCUUUUGAUCAUUUUAGUGACAUUUUCUCAUAAGGUUAAAAGCUUACAUUGUGCCUUUUUUAACCAUGCCUCCGGUGUGUUGCAUGAAAACAGCAUUGUGUGUGUUUGCAGCAGAGGUGCACCGAUGUAUGAGCCAGUGUUCAGGCCGCGGACGCCGUUGCCUCCUCCUAUUGCUGCUACCUGUGAUCUGAGUGUUGUUGGGCUGUGUCUGCAGCCCAUAGAACCCCCUGUGUUUUAAGUACCGGAUAGCAAGCGCCGCUGCCGCCGACGUCCGUGUUUGCAGGAUAUUGAAAAAGACCUUUGUCAGGAAGCUGAGGCCCACCAGGCCAUUGGGGAGCAGUGAUCGUGCUGCUCCAAAUUACCAUAUCACCUUUCUCUCUUCGUCCUAAUGAACAACAAAGUCUGGUGGGUGACACUCGUGCAACGGGCUCUAUUUUGCUUGAAAGAAGUAGCAAAAAGAUGAGUAAUCUCCCGCUCUCUGUCUGAUUUUCCAUCAGAUUGUAUUUAUUGCAGUGUAAAAUAAUAUAUAACACGUGGCAGGCGGUGACACAUCUCCCUGAGUGCAUUGUGUUGCAGCGUUGAAAUGUGGCUGGAAAUGAAUCAGCGCACGAGGUAGCCCCUGUUGCUAUUACUAUGCAAACCAGAUAGAUGGCUUACAUUUAAUUUAUAUAAUAUUCCCCCGCUGAAUCAUUUUUAUUACGAAGGGGGAAAAAAAAAAAUCCUGCUAGGAAUAUUUGGCCUAUAAAGAAAUUAACUUUGUCUCUUUGCUAAGUACACCCAUGCAUCAAGCCAUUAUCUCUGUGACAGAUGAAUCAUAUUUGAUAUUACGCAAGACAAAUGUAUUCAUAUUGCAUAUUUUUCUAAUUUUUCCCGUCUGACCAUCUGUGUGUGUUACGUCUUACCGAGAUUAAUCCGCUGAUCCUAUCGGGAUGGAGGGCAGGUGUUUUUUUUCUGUUUUUUCUUUUGCCCCCCCUUCCUAACACGCAAUAGUAAGUAAGAGCUGAUAUCCAAACAUAAUCCACCAUAUUAUAUUUUAGAUCUUUGUAAUAUAUCAGGGACAGUGAUUUCCACAACUGGGCCAUAUUGAGACCUGAUUUGUUCCGUAUUAUUAUUAUUAUUUUUGCGCGUGUGCGUCAAGACUUAGCAAAUGGGGGCACACUGUGACCAGAAAAGUCAUGUGUAGGGCUGAUACGUGCCAUAUCAGUGACAUAUGAAAUAGUACUUUGUGUCCUUGGAUCAGUGUGCUAAAUCAUUUAAGCAGAAUGACCUUUGACUGGAUUAGAUGGAGGACGGGUGAACCAGAGGGGGGGGAUACUGAGACCUGUUUGGCUGGAGAUACAGAGGGCACAAGGUCGUCCUCCGCUUUCGUCACCGUUGACCCAAAUUCCAUCCAUCCUCUGCUACAAACAUCUGAUGAUUAUUUUUUUUUCCCAGGAAAUUGCAGCAUUUGAUCUCACCUACACCUCCUUCUCUUUUACCUAAGUGGCUCUGGGUGAGGGUGUGAUUGAAGUCGGACGAUGAUUUACGGAGACAACGCUCACCUAGCACGCUGUUCGGCCUGUUACGCCCUCUGUCUUACAUGCGCCCUCCUAAAUUCACUUAUGUAGAAUACUUGUCUUUUCCCAAGGUGUUAGACGGAACGAGUGGAUGCGCAGACAGAUUGCAAACUAGUGUUAAUGAUCAGCCUGUCAGGCAGAAUCUGUAUUACUUAAUCUCCCGGUCCUGCUGUACAUGAUCAAAGUGAUGCAAAUGCGUCGGGGUAUUGAUUUCUACAGCAGCCGUGCUCUUGCACUCAAAAUACUCCUUUUUUUUUACUCCGACCCACAGUUUCCCCCUCCACAUAACUGUUGUCAUUCUAACAGCCUGGAACAACAGUGCUGGCCUUGUCGAUGUUUUUUGUAAAUGUUUAAAUCUGUUUUUAUUUAUGUUAAGCACAGCCAGCUAACACUGCGUAUCACAUGCAGUGUUUGUUUGUUUUUUUUUUUUUCAAAAUCAAGGUUUUUUUGUUUUGUUUUGUUUUGUUUUAAAUCUGUGUAUCUCAUUGCAGAUAUGAAACUUGUCAAUUGAAGAUCAGGGGAUUAAAGAAGAUACAGAGCUGAAACAGAUGGUUUGCUGUGAUGUGUCCUAAAUGCUAAUCCUGUCAGCAUAGCCAGCUGUGAUUGAUACAUUAUGACAUAUUGUAAAGGUUAUAUUCAUCUGCGAUGUUUGAUCGUCAUCUCUGUACUUUCUAAAAACCCCUGUCCUCGCAAAUGAUGGGCUGUCCCCAGGAAAAACGGGGCAUUGCAGAGACGGAAGUGUAAUUGAUGCUGUUUUGAUCAAAAAGUCUGUCUGAAUUUAGUUUAAAUCCGUGUAACGACUCAUGAAGAAUGUUGCCGGACGGUGGUGAAACCCAUUUAAAGUCCCAUUCUUGAAACGUGAGCAGCCACAGUGAACUCUCUGUCACAAUGAAACAUGGUGAUUAAGACAGCCAGUGGGAGAUGAAAAUGAAUUCCUUCAGCUCUGAGGAGGUGUUGUAUGGAAUUGUCACAGGUCACCCUCCAGGCGCCCGGCGUUUGCAAAGUAAUUCAUCCAGCGUGUUAUCCCAAUAAUGAUAAAUUUCAGCCAUUAUGAAUCGA